rnacentral:rRNA from 1 species
AUUGAACGCUGGCGGCAGGCCUAACACAUGCAAGUCGAGCGAGCGGCGGACGGGUGAGUAAUGUCUGGGAAACUGCCUGAUGGAGGGGGAUAACUACUGGAAACGGUAGCUAAUACCGCAUACCAUCAGAUGUGCCCAGUUGGGAUUAGCUCGUAGGUGGGGUAACGGCUCACCUAGGCGACGAUCCCUAGCUGGUCUGAGAGGAUGACCGGCCACACUGGAACUAAGACCCGGUCCAGACUCCUACGGAGGACAGCAGUGGGGAAGAUUGCACAAGGGGCGCAGGCCUGCUGCAGCCCUGCCGCGUGUGUGAAGAGGGCCUUCGGGUUUUAAAGCACUUUCAGCGGGGAGGCGUUACCCGCAGAAGAAGCACCGGCUAACUCCGUGCCAGCAGCCGCGGUAAUAC